AUGUGGCUGACAAAUUAUUUUCUUCUCGUUUUUCUUCUCUUCAGAACUAUUCAUGGACUCGCCGAUGGAUCCGAGACCACUGUCAAGGAGUUUUUGAGCAAAGUGUCAGAUGAAAUUGCUACUAGAGAUGCUUCCCGGAUUGCUACACUAUUUUCCGAUGGGUUCUCGUUUCAAGGAUGCAAGGGAAAAUAUGACAAGGAAACCGCCACCAAAAUUCUAAGCAAACUCCCUGCUGGCACCCCAUUCUCCUUCACUCUUAAAUCAGCAAAGCCCCUCUCCGACGACAGAAUCAGUUAUAUUGUAUCUAUCAAUGGAUUCGGUGCUGCAUCAAUCGACGCGCUGUUCAUUCUCUGCGCAAAGACGUUAACAUUGGCUAGUGGAAGCAUUGUAUCCUGCCCUCCGAGGCAUUUCAGUGAUCAUGCUAAUCCCGAAGAAAUCGUCAAAACUUUCUUGGGAACUGUGACAAAGGCCCUUGAGUCGAAAGAUGCUUCCCGUAUUGCUACUCUAUUCUCCGAUGACUUCUCAUUCAAAGGAUGCAAGGGCACUUAUGAUAAGCAAUCUGUCAUCAAGAUGCUAAGCAACAUCCCAGCAGGAACACCUUUCUCCUUUACCAUCAAAUCAGCCAAAUUCAUUGCUACCGGGAGAAUCGAACAUGUAGUCUCUAUCAAUGGAUUCAGUGCAACUCCACUUGAAGCUCAGUUCAUCCUGUGCCCACAGAGAUCUGUCUUGGUCGGUGGAAGUAUUCCGUCUUGUCCUCAAAGACAUUUUCUUGCUGGCGAUAAUUCCAACUUGGUUGCAAAUAAGUUCUUGGAUAGACUACCUCAUUCAAUUGCUUCUCGGGAUUCUGAUAUUAUUUUGGGACUUUUCCGUCCAGACUUCACCUUCAAAGGAUGCGCGGGAACAUAUAAUAAAGCUGAAGCUGUCAAGACAAUCAUGAGUCUACCAGCUGACAAAAAUGCCACUUUCACCCUCAAGACUUCUCAAAACAAGGGAAAAGAUCAGAUCACAAUUAUCUGUACCGUGACCGGGAUCAGUAAAAGCCCAUCAGACAUUGAACUUACUCUGAGCUUAUUGGAUCAACAGUUGGCUGCCGGGACUAUUUUGAGCUGUCCAAAAAGAUCUUUUACUUUUGACCAAGCAUCUGAUGUUAUUAUAAGUGCGUUCCUGGACAAAAUGACGUAUACUCUCGCGACCAAAAGCUCUGCAAAGAUUGGAGAUCUUUUUGCUGAGAGCUUUGUGUUCAAAGGAUGCCGUGCAACUUAUGACAAGCAAGCCAACGUGGAACUUCUAAGCAGUCUUCCUCGUGGAACCCCCUUCUCCUUCACUCUCAAAUCAUCCCACUUCAUCUCGGAGUACAAAAUCGAGUACCUGGUCGCCUUGUCUGGAUUCGGAGUUCCAACUCAUGAUGCCAAGUUUGUAUUCUGCUCCAAGAGACGUGUGUUGAUUAGUGGAGAGAUCCCAGCUUGCCAGCCAAAGCGUUUCUUUGCAUCUUCGAAAGAUAAUUCAGUGGUGACUGUUAAGAAGUUUAUGGGAAAAUUGACGGAUGCGAUUAAAUCGAAAGAUUUGGGGAGCAUCGGAGGGCUUUUCGCAGAUGCUUUUGUUUUCAAAGGGUGCAAGAGUGAUUAUACCAAAGAACAAAUAAUGAAAACCAUCAGUCAACUACCAGCUGGUGCUGACGGAAGGUUCCACUCGGGACUCAAGUCCGCUGAAGAUCAUGGCUCUACCAUCAAAUACGUUGUCGGUGCAACCGGGACAGGAAACAAAGAAGUUCUCGUCGAGUUCUACUUGAACAAACAAAAGCUGCAAUUGGAGAGUGGACUGGUGCCGUCUUGCCAGAAAAAUAACCGGCUGUUCGUUCAUCAUGACUUCCCGGUUGCAUCUUGGGCCAAGAGAAAGUUCUUCGAGUUAAUUGCUCACAAUGAUGGCUCACUGCCUAUUGUGCAAGAAGCUCUCGAGAAGUUGAAGAAGGCUGUUCUUUCUGGACGCAAGGAAAAAAUCGCCAACUUUUUCAAUCAAGAGUUCAAUUUCCAUGGAUGUAAAUCCAGUUAUAACAAGUACGACACUGUUGAGAUGCUCUCGAGAUAUGCAGGAUCUGCUUUUGAAAUGCGGGUCACCUCUUCUCGAUUUGUUGACUAUAACGCUGAAAUCGAGUACACCGUAAUCGUUCAAGGAUUUGGAGUGAAUAAAAUUAUGGCGGACUUCCAUUUGACAAGAAACAUCGGAAGCUUCUGGAGACUUAGCUCAGGAGUAAUGACAAAUUGUGAAGCGCCUAGAACCUUCCUGUCCGGGGAUUCGAGCAGAAUUGCCGGCGAAUAUAUGAUAAAAUUGCAAAGAGCCAUUGAUCUUCGUUCGACUUCCUUAGUUAACGACCUUUUCGCAGACGACUACGUGUUUGAAGCGUGUGGAGGAAAGAUUUUUUAUAAGCAUAACGUCACGGAACUGCUCACCAACUACAGUCUCCGAAGCUCUGUGACCCAUACUUUGAAGUCAGCCCGUUACAUUAACAAUCGAGAAAUUGAUUUCACAGCGGAAUUCGUUGGACUCUACCCAAAGCCAAUAUUGAUCCAAUUUGUGUUGGACUUCCAAAAAGGAGUGGUACUUCAUGGAAAAGCACCAAAUUGUGAAGCUCCAAAAAGUUUCCUAGAUUUUCCUGAAGAGUCGGAUAGAGUUGCAAACAAUAUUUUGAACAAGUUGCAAUACGCAAUCGAUCAUCGUUCGGCUUCAGCGGUUAUGAGCCUUAUCGCUGACGACUACACGUUUCAAGCGUGUGGGGAAAAGUGUUUUCUAAACAAAAAGUCACUGAACUCUUCACCACCUACAAUACUGGAAUCCCAACAUCCCACAACUUGAAGUCAUCACGUUACCUGAACAAUCAAGAAAUUGAAGUCACCGCCGAAUUAAUCGGAAUCUAUCCAACGCCGUUACAAGUUCAAUAGGUGGUAGACUACAAAAAAGAAGUGGUACUUCAUGGAAAAGCACCAAAUUGUGAAGCUCCAAAAAAGUUCCUAGAUAUUCCUGAAGAGUCGGAUAAAGUUGCAAACAAUAUUUUGAACGAGUUGCAAUACGCAAUCGAUCAUCGUUUGGAUUCAGUGGGUUUUCUUAUCGCUGACGACUUCACGUUUCAAGCGUGUGGGGGAAAGGUGUUUUCUAAAAAAAAAUUCACUGAACUCUUCACUACCUACAAUACUGGAAUCCCAACAUCUCACAACUUGAAGUCAUCACGUUACAUGUACAAUAGAGAAGAAAUUGAAGUCACCGCCGAGUUAAUCGGAAUCUAUCCAACGCCGUUACAAGUUCAAUUGGUGGUAGACUACAAAAGAGGAGUGGUUCUUCAUGGAAGAGAACCAAAUUGUGAAAAGUCUAGAAAAUUUUUUGCCGCUCCUGAAGAUGCUGAUAAAGUUGCUGAGGAUUUUUUGAAAUCACUGAAAGAAGCAUUCGAUCUUCGCUUGACACGAAAUAUUGAAGAGCUUAUUGACGAGAGCUUUGUCUUCGAAGGAUGUGAGGGAGAAACUUUCAGAGGCUACAAAAUCGUCCGGCUACUUCGCUAUUACCCAAAGGGAAUCCCGACCUCGUAUAGCUUGAGAACAUCACGUUACCUUGACUAUAAUGUGAUUGAGAUCAUAGUGGAGACAACUGGACUCUUACCAAAACCAUUCCAUGUUCAACUGAUCCUAGACAUCAAGAAGAAUAAAUUGAUUUCCGGACGAUCACCGAAUUGUGAUUUGAAAAAUUUGGUCGACGAAUUGAGAUUAUCUUAUGGAAGUAUUUUCUGA
rnacentral:misc_RNA from 1 species